CAGGUAGUGGGCCCGCGAGCCGGGGCAAAAGAACUUCCGGUCUCCGCGAGGGUAGCGGCCGGCUGUAGGCGUGGACUGUCGAGUGGUGAAAGGCUGGUAGAUCCUCUGUUGUUUGCUGACCGGGCAGUCGUCGUUUUUACUGACUUUUCAGACAAGAGACAAUGUGACAUCUUGGCUGCGAACUUUUGGCGUCAGAGACCUCAAAUUGAAAAGGCAGGACCCCAAAGAACAGCACCUUUGACCAUGUGAAGUAAUCCCACACCCCACCCACAGGCGGAAAUGAGCAGUGGGAAAUUCAAAGCUCAGCUCUGCCUGCCAUGAAUCGUUCCAGAUGACAAUCAUUUUCAUGCUUUCAAACAAAGGCUCCAGAAGGACUACGAAGAAGAGAACAAAGCUAGAAGUUUAACAUCAAUAACGACAAGAAAAGAAGAAACGAUAUUUAAGUAUUCUGCUCCCUUUUUUUUUUGCUAUCUUAUCACGGCAUUUUAGUACUCCAGUUCACCUGAAAUUAGAAGGUUGUGGGUAGGUUGGGACAAGAAUUCAAAUGGCUACACUAAAUAAGAAGGCUCAGUUCCACCCUAUACUUACAUCCCUCAAGAGUCAUCUGAGCUUUUAAAAUUCUCUCUCUUUCUCAUCCCCCACCCUCUCUUUCAUGUUAACUUGAAGCCACAACUAGUGACUGUUAGCAAUAUUUAUUUCCACACUUGUUUCCCUAAAGCAUUGUUUUCCAAAAUGGAUUCCAUGAGAUGUUCAUAGAUGCUCCAUGGAAAAAUGUUCUGUGGUCAGAUGUUUGGGAAAUUUAUGGUUAUUACAAGUUAAACAGAUUUCUCUGCAACAGGUCUUCUCUUGCCCUUUAAUUUACCAGUGGACCUGGUCAAUCUCCAAAAGGAAGCAUAGUUUGUACCACAGAACCCUAAUUUUCUGGAAUCAUUGAGCCUGACUAGUGUUCUGAUUAAUACAGUGGAAGAAAUGCCACCCUUUGACAUAAGGGUUUGUCUUAAACUGGGAGCUCUUGUCAUCAGAGACAUAGACAUUCAGAACUACCUUAGUCACUUAGAUUGGUGUGCAACUCUUGACCACAUAGAGAAAACCUCACCAAGGAACUCUCCUAAACACUCAUACAACAAAUUUCAUUCUUCCUGUAGGCUGACAUCCCUGUACCCUGGAGUCUGAAAUGCCAAUUCUGCAGAAAGAGAUAGGCUAGAAAUAUAGCCUGGUGGAAGAGCAAAAGGACCUGAACAGGCGCCAUGGC